rnacentral:lncRNA from 1 species
GGAAGAGACCACCAAGAGUGUUUCUAAGGUGUAACUAGAGCUGUCAGUGUGGCUUAUCUCUCAGGAUGAAAGCACCCCUAGGAAGUGGCUUUUCAACAGAGGUCAAGCCAAUCCCGAAGUCCCCAGGGCCAUGGAGAAGAAGUGAAGACAGCGUUUGUUGCACUCUGCCAAGCUCUUGACUAGCCAGCUGAUGUGGGGCCUCCCGUCCUUUUCUUUUGGGUCUCAGGGAAGCUGGCUUGUAAAACACACCUUUGAGAAACCCAUUGCUUCACUUAGCAACUGUUGAUAAGCACCUACCAGUGCUGGAUGCUGGAAACAGGAGAGAAGGGGUUUGCUGAAAAUAGAUGAGGAAGGAAGAGGUCCCAGGCUGUCAGCCCAGCAGGUGCAGAGGCUGGAGUGACAUGGACAAGCAAGCCAUUCCAGCAACCAAAGGGACUCAGCUGAGCAGGGCUGUGCAGUGUGAGGGGAAGACUGGGCUGGCAGCAGGCAGGAGCAAUGGGCGUCACCUGAAGACGUUAGCCUUCCCUCUCAGGCAAUACUGUGCAGCAAAGGCUCUGAAAGGAAGGAGGAGACCAGGGCUCCAGGCUCCACCAAGGUGACCUGCAGGACAAGUGCUAGGGAGAGCCAGUGACCCUGGUCUGUGCUUUGUGAGGGAGAGAAGAGAGAAGCAGCUAGUCAGGGCAUGUGAGCAUCUGCAGAGGUGAUGUGGAGUCAAGGUUGAUGCCAGCGUUUCUGGUGGAGCAUUGAAAGUGCCCUUCAUUUGGGUGGGGACACUGAAAAUGGCCAGCUCCGAGAAUGGGGACGGUUCUGGGGUCACCAGAAAUGCACACAUAUAGAGAUGCCUAUAGGAGCGAGACACAGGCUGGCGCUUGCCAUGCUUGCAGCUCACGGAAGCUGGAGUCCUAUGUCACAUAGACGUACAGGGAGAGAAUGCGGCAUGGGAAGGCAGGGCACUGAGCUCACACAAAGGCUCAGGGAAAGGGCUGGAUUGGGGAGGGGUUGAAGGUCCAGAACAGAGGGGCUAUUUGCUCCUGAAACUGAGCUAGGACAUUGCCUCAGCCCUCGGUGCUCUGUGCCCCGCCCUCAGGUAUGUGCUGCUACAUCAUGUGAUGGGCAGCCUGGAGGGGAUGCAGGGUGCCUGGAGCUAUGUCCAGGGUGGCAUGGGUGCCCUCUCAGAUGCCAUUGCAAGCUCGGCUACUGCACAUGGAGCAAGUAUCUUCACAGAGAAGGUGUGAGCCCCUCUCCCCAACCCCGACUGUUAGCCUGGAUGCAGGGUGGAGGGUGGGACAGCCUCAGAUUCGGACAGACCCUUGAAUUACUGAUGAACCAAGUGAAGCCCAGAAUCCAGGCUCUCGCUUCUGAAACUGGUCAACCUUUCAAGUUCACCAGUCACAAAACCACGCAUGGGGCUGUGCUCCCUGGUGGGCAGGUUGCACCAGCGCACCCCGAGGAGCCCCUGGCUUGGAGGAUGGGUUGGGGAUAAAGAAGUAUGGGUGCCUAGGAACCGCACCCACUAUUCUCAACCUGGGCCUCCUUCUGGGGGACUUCGGGGAUCUCGUGCUGGGGCUCCAGACUGUGGCUAAGGUGCAAGUGAACAGCGAAGGCCGUGUCCAAGGGGUCGUGCUGCAGGGCGGCGAGGAGGUCAGGAGCAGAGUCGUCUUGUCCUGUGCGUCGCCACAGGUCACCUUCUUAGAGCUGACACCACAGGUGAGGCGGGUCAGGGGAGAGAUAAAAUGUCUGCCGCACAGGCCUUGGAGUGUGGUGUGGGGAGCUCGGAUUACAUCAGGCAGGAUGGAGAACUAAGGUUUAUCUGAGAAAGUCUGCAGCUUGCAAACAGUAGAGAAGCCUCAUGGGUUAUGGGAAGGUCCACAAAGGUGAGGGGACCGAGAACACACAGCUGGCAAUAGACUAAGCCAGUGCCAGGGCCUAGGUCUGGCUUAUAAUUCUUACCACUUUUCUUCUA